rnacentral:sRNA from 1 species
CCCGGUGCAAUGCUUCAAUGGAAUGUGACAAGUGUCAGAGGCGGCAGAAGAAUAGAGCAUUUUGCUAUUUUUGUAACUCUGUUCAGAAGUUACCAAUCUGUGCACAGUGUGG